UACGGAGGAUCCAAGCAUUAUCCGGAUUUAUUGGGUUUAAAGGGUGCGUAGGUGGCCUGUUAAGUCAGGGGUGAAAGACGGUAGCUUAACUAUCGCAGUGCCCUUGAUACUGAUGGGCUUGAAUAAACUAGAGGUAGGCGGAAUGUGACAAGUAGCGGUGAAAUGCAUAGAUAUGUCACAGAACACCAAUUGCGAAGGCAGCUUACUAUGGUUUUAUUGACACUGAGGCACGAAAGCGUGGGGAUCAAACAGG
rnacentral:rRNA from 1 species